AGGGAGGAGCCUAUUUUAUCCUACAAGGACUCGGGUACUCCCGACGAUAGCUGUCCCCAAAGAAACCCUGCAACUAGUAAUUGAAGUGGAAGAAAGUUAGGAUUUCCUGUGUGUGGUCAAGGAGACGGACAAAUUUUAUGUUCUUAGGCGAGAAAGCGUUUAGUAGACUUUCCAGGGCUUGAGGUGCUUCUUACUUCUGCGGAGAUGCCCCCGAA
rnacentral:lncRNA from 1 species